UACGUAGGGACCAAGCGUUGUUCGGAUUUACUGGGCGUAAAGGGCGCGUAGGCGGCGUGACAAGUCACUUGUGAAAUCUCCGGGCUUAACUCGGAACGGCCAAGUGAAACUGUCAUGCUAGAGUGCAGAAGGGGCAAUCGGAAUUCUUGGUGUAGCGGUGAAAUGCGUAGAUAUCAAUAGGAACUCCGGUGGCGAAGGCGGCAUGCUGGACCUUUUCUGACGCUGAGGCGCGAAAGCCAGGGGAGCAAACGGG
rnacentral:rRNA from 1 species